CAGUCUCCGCGGUAAUACGAAGGGGGUUAGCGUUGUUCGGAUUUACUGGGCGUAAAGCGCACGUAGGCGGAUCGAUCAGUCAGGGGUGAAAUCCCAGAGCUCAACUCUGGAACUGCCUUUGAUACUGUCGAUCUGGAGUAUGGAAGAGGUGAGUGGAAUUCCGAGUGUAGAGGUGAAAUUCGUAGAUAUUCGGAGGAACACCAGUGGCGAAGGCGGCUCACUGGUCCAUUACUGACGCUGAGGUGCGAAAGCGUAGGGAGCAAACAGGAUUAGAGACCCCAGUAGUCCCUGUCUCUUAUAC
rnacentral:rRNA from 1 species